UACGGAGGGUGCAAGCGUUAUCCGGAUUCACUGGGUUUAAAGGGUGCGUAGGUGGGUUGAUAAGUCAGUGGUGAAAUCCCCGAGCUUAACUUGGGAACUGCCAUUGAUACUAUUGAUCUUGAAUACCGUGGAGGUCAGCGGAAUAUGUCAUGUAGCGGUGAAAUGCGUAGAGAUGUGGAGGAACACCGAUGGCGAAGGCAGCCCCCUGGGAUGAGACUGACGCUCAUGUACGAAAGCGUGGGGAGCAAACAGG
rnacentral:rRNA from 1 species